ACGCUGGCGGCAGGCCUAACACAUGCAAGUCGAGCGGUAGAGAGAAGCUUGCUUCUCUUGAGAGCGGCGGACGGGUGAGUAAUGCCUAGGAAUCUGCCUGGUAGUGGGGGAUAACGUCCGGAAACGGACGCUAAUACCGCAUACGUCCUACGGGAGAAAGCAGGGGACCUUCGGGCCUUGCGCUAUCAGAUGAGCCUAGGUCGGAUUAGCUAGUUGGUGGGGUAAUGGCUCACCAAGGCGACGAUCCGUAACUGGUCUGAGAGGAUGAUCAGUCACACUGGAACUGAGACACGGUCCAGACUCCUACGGGAGGCAGCAGUGGGGAAUAUUGGACAAUGGGCGAAAGCCUGAUCCAGCCAUGCCGCGUGUGUGAAGAAGGUCUUCGGAUUGUAAAGCACUUUAAGUUGGGAGGAAGGGCAGUUACCUAAUACGUGAUUGUUUUGACGUUACCGACAGAAUAAGCACCGGCUAACUCUGUGCCAGCAGCCGCGGUAAUACAGAGGGUGCAAGCGUUAAUCGGAAUUACUGGGCGUAAAGCGCGCGUAGGUGGUUUGUUAAGUUGGAUGUGAAAUCCCCGGGCUCAACCUGGGAACUGCAUUCAAAACUGACUGACUAGAGUGUGGUAGAGGGUGGUGGAAUUUCCUGUGUAGCGGUGAAAUGCGUAGACAUAGGAAGGAACACCAGUGGCGAAGGCGACCACCUGGACCAACACUGACACUGAGGUGCGAAAGCGUGGGGAGCAAAC
rnacentral:rRNA from 1 species